rnacentral:rRNA from 1 species
CCUACGGGUGGCAGCAGUGGGGAAUAUUGGGCAAUGGACGCAAGUCUGACCCAGCGACGCCGCGUGUGGGAAGACGGUCCUCUGGAUUGUAAACCACUGUCCCCAGGGACGAAGAUGACGGUACCUGGGGAGGAAGCUCCGGCUAACUACGUGCCAGCAGCCGCGGUAAUACGUAGGGAGCGAGCGUUGUCCGGAAUUACUGGGUGAAAAGGGAGCGUAGGCGGGACUGCAAGUUGGGUGUCAAAUCUACCGGCUCAACCGGUAGCCGCACUCAAAACUGCAGUUCUUGAGUGAAGUAGAGGCAGGCGGAAUUCCUAGUGUAGCGGUGAAAUGCGUAGAUAUUAGGAGGAACACCAGUGGCGAAGGCGGCCUGCUGGGCUUUUACUGACGCUGAGGCUCGAAAGUGUGGGGAGCAAACAGGAUUAGAUACCCGAGUAGUC